rnacentral:tRNA from 1 species
GUCAUGCUAGUUUAUACAGAACCCCUAACUUGCACUUAGGAAGUGGGACGUCGAGCCCCGCACGACA